CUUGACACGACACAUUUAUUUCUCACUCCCACCAAUCAAGACAGGUCACAGAACCCACCAAGAAAUGAUUUAGGAACCCAGGAUCCUUCAUCUGGGUACCAUCUUUGAAAUGUUCACCAAGUUCUCCAAGUUCACCACCUGAGGAUAAAAGGAAUGAUCCAGCUUGAGGACAGGUUGUGAGGGUAGGCCAUUCACAGACUGUCAGUACCACAGCUGAUGGAAAGCUGAUUGGGCACUUGUCCAGCUGUGUGCCUGACAGAGAACAAAGGCAGUAUUAUGAAGCGCUAGCAGACUUGGCCAGACUCUCAGGCACCUGAGCAUUCUUCCUCCUGUGCCUAGAACACUCUCAGGACCUCCCUGAGGCAGGGCGGGGUAGGGGGGGAUGCUCCCAGAAUUCCGCAGUCAGUGCCUCCAAUUCAAGUACUGGGACCCCCAGGUGAUUCCCCUCCAUCAGGCCUGGUGUGCCCUCACUUGGUGCUGCAGCCUAAAAAAUGAGAGAGCUGCUUUUGCUACGGUUACUGAAUCAUGAGGCUUACAAUCUGCCUCCAAAGGCAUUGCAGGUUUUCCAUUUUUAAGUAUCACUUCUCAGCCCAGGAUGGAGGACAGAAACAGUGCUACAAGAAACAGAAACAAAGAGCACCUGGCCGGUAUUCCAUGAUGACAACAAGAGAAUACUCAGGGAGGGAGGAAGGCAAGGCAAAAGGACUCGAUCUUCUGUUUUUCUUUUGCCUGGUUUAUCCAAUGCCUUAGGCAGCAAGCACCAAUCUAACAUUCAGCUUGGCAUUGUUUUAAGCACAAAUCUUUGCUUAAGCAAUGAGUGUUCCUUGUAGGUUUUGAAUAUGAACACAUAAGUAGGAGUGCAUUUAUUUUAACUCAUUUGAUGAUGAGUUUACUGGAAGCCGAAGAUCUGGUGUCUGUGAAAACCUUAGAAAAUGAUUUGCAAUAACUCUUCAGAUGAAUGCAAAUACAUGAAAAGAAAAGCAGUUGAAGGUCGUCACACAAAGAGCCAGCACAAGCAGCAACCAUUAAGAACAGGCAUCUAUUUUAAUUUCUCAGGUGUGCGUUGAUGAGGAGAAUUAGAACUGUUUUAAUUGCUAAUCUCUCAGAGGAAGGAACACACCAUGUUAAUUAAAUUCACUGAUGAUAGAAAAAGUGGGGGUGGAUUAAUCACUUCUAAUGGCAGAACAAUUUUCUUUAAAAGCCAGCUUUACAAAUAAGAACUGGAAUUCACCAAAAGAGAACUCUGCUCUUAAAGAAUGUGCAUGUGCACGUGCGUGUGCACACACACACACACAGCCUAACUACCCACGGAGCAUAAAUUGCAAGCUGUACACUUUUUAAAUCAUUUCAAGAGGUGCAAUAACCACCCCAGAACGGCAUCUCUAAUUCACUUUCUGAGCAAAGAUGUAGCAAGUACUUGCUACAUGCACAAAGCUGCAGUAUGAAUAAUAAAAGAAAUUAAAUAAAUGUAGCUCUUCAAC
rnacentral:lncRNA from 1 species